rnacentral:rRNA from 1 species
AGGGAGCCUGAGAAACGGCUACCACAUCCAAGGAAGGCAGCAGGCGCGCAAAUUACCCAAUCCAGACAUUGGGAGGUAGUGACGAGAAAUACUGGGGGCGCUCAUCGAGUGCCAUCCGGAAUGAACGUAACACAAAAAAUUCGAUGAGGAUCUACUGGAGGGCAAGUCUGGUGCCAGCAGCCGCGGUAAUUCCAGCUCCAGUAGUGUAUAUCAACAUUGUUGCGCUUGGAACGCUCGUAGUUGGAUUACAGGGUUCUAAACGGUGUACACCUUAAGGGUGUAUGUCGGGUGUGCAGAUCCAGUUGACCGGUGAAUGGCUGGGAGAUUGGUAGCGCACUGGAACCCUUUUAUCGCACUGGUUCUGUGUGUUGUCUUGAUUGGCAGCGUGCAGAAGCCGGUGGAGUGUGCCUUGAAUAAAGCAUAGUGCUCAAAGCAGGCGUACGCUCGUGUGUAAUAGCAUGGAACGAAUAGAGUUUGGCCGGGGCAGCGUAUGCAUCGGCAUUCAUGUCGGUGUGGCGUUGUCCGGACUCUGCUAGUGUUGGUUGGAGUACCGGUCUAGACGGUUAACAGGGACAUCUGAGGGCACUAGUACUUUGUGGCGAGAGGUGAAAUUCUUAGACCCACAAAAGACUGACUAUUGCGAAAGCAUUUGCCAAGAAUGUUUUCAUUAAUCAAGAACGAAGGUCAGAGGAUCGAAGACGAUCAGAUACCGUCCUAGUUUUGACAGCAAACUAUGCCAGCAUAGGGUUAGGGCGGUCGCCUGCCUGAUAAGGGCCGGUCGAACCACCUUGGGCCUUAGGGGAAACCUAGCUUUCGGGCUGCUGGGAGAAUAUCGCUGCAAGGCUGAAAUUUAAAGAAAUUGACGGAGAGGCACCACCAGGAGUGGAGCCUGCGGCUUAAUUUGACUCAACACGGGGAAACUCACCAGGUCCAGACAUUGGUAGGAUUGACAGACUGGUAGAUCUUUCAUGAUUCAGUGAAUGGUGGUGCAUGGCCGUUCUUAGUUGGUGGAGUGAUCUGUCAGGUCUAUUCCGGUAACGAGCGAGACCACGGCCUUUAGUUUACGCCGGCCAACACAACCGCCGAGCCGCAAGGCAAGGAGGGACUGUGGUUGGGCGUGCUAGAGGGACUAUUGGCGUCUUUAAGCCAGGGGAAGCGUGGCAAUAACAGGUCUGUGAUGCCCUUCGAUGUCCUGGGCUGCACGCGCGCUACAAUGGCAGCAGUAGAGAGUGGACUGGCCAGAGAUGGUCGGUGAAACUGCAAAUGGCUGUCGUGAUAGGGAUUGAGCCUUGUAAUUUUUGCUCAUGAAAGAGGAAUUCCUCGUAAGCACUAGUCAUCAGCUAGUGUUGAAUACGUCUCUGCCUCUUGUACACACCGCCCGUCGCUACUACCGAUUGAAUUGUUUCCAAAGCUGGUUGGACC